GAUGAACGCUGGCGGCGUGCCUAAUACAUGCAAGUCGAGCGAACAGACGAGGAGCUUGCUCCUCUGACGUUAGCGGCGGACGGGUGAGUAACACGUGGAUAACCUACCUAUAAGACUGGGAUAACUUCGGGAAACCGGAGCUAAUACCGGAUAAUAUAUUGAACCGCAUGGUUCAAUAGUGAAAGACGGUUUUGCUGUCACUUAUAGAUGGAUCCGCGCCGCAUUAGCUAGUUGGUAAGGUAACGGCUUACCAAGGCGACGAUGCGUAGCCGACCUGAGAGGGUGAGCGGGCACACUAGAACUGAGACACGGUCCAGACUCCUACGGGAGGCAGCAGUAGGGAAUCUUCCGCAAUGGGCGAAAGCCUGACGGAGCAACGCCGCGUGAGUGAUGAAGGUCUUCGGAUCGUAAAACUCUGUUAUUAGGGAAGAACAAAUGUGUAAGUAACUAUGCACGUCUUGACGGUACCUAAUCAGAAAGCCACGGCUAACUACGUG
rnacentral:rRNA from 1 species